rnacentral:misc_RNA from 1 species
GCAAACUUGGUCAUUUAGAGGAAGUAAAAGUCGUAACAAGGUCUCCGUAGGUGAACCUGCGGAGGGAUCAUUAUCGAGUGAGGGACUCUAACCGAGCCUGAUCUUUCCAACCCUUGCGGAAUUCUACAUGUUGCUUUGGCGGGUCGCGGUUUUCGAACCCCACCGGCUCACGCUGGUGCGAGCCCGCCAAAGGUCCCAUACAAACUCUUAAUCGUCUGAUUUGCUACAAUUGAAUUAUCUAAAACUUUCAACAAUGGAUCUCUUGGUUCUGGCAUCGAUGAAGAACGCAGC